rnacentral:rRNA from 1 species
CAAGUCGAACGGCAGCACGGGUGCUUGCACCUGGUGGCGAGUGGCGAACGGGUGAGUAAUACAUCGGAACGUACCUUAUCGUGGGGGAUAACGCAGCGAAAGCUGUGCUAAUACCGCAUACGCCCUGAGGGGGAAAGCGGGGGAUCGCAAGACCUCGCGCGAUUAGAGCGGCCGAUGCCUGAUUAGCUUGUUGGUGGGGUAAAAGCCCACCAAGGCGACGAUCAGUAGCUGGUCUGAGAGGACGAUCAGCCACACUGGGACUGAGACACGGCCCAGACUCCUACGGGAGGCAGCAGUGGGGAAUUUUGGACAAUGGGCGCAAGCCUGAUCCAGCCAUUCCGCGUGCAGGAUGAAGGCCCUCGGGUUGUAAACUGCUUUUGUACAGAACGAAAAGCUCUGGGUUAAUACCCUGGGGUCAUGACGGUACUGUAAGAAUAAGCACCGGCUAACUACGUGCCAGCAGCCGCGGUAAUACGUAGGGUGCAAGCGUUAAUCGGAAUUACUGGGCGUAAAGCGUGCGCAGGCGGUUAUGUAAGACAGAGGUGAAAUCCCCGGGCUCAACCUGGGAACUGCCUUUGUGACUGCAUAGCUAGAGUACGGCAGAGGGGGAUGGAAUUCCGCGUGUAGCAGUGAAAUGCGUAGAUAUGCGGAGGAACACCGAUGGCGAAGGCAAUCCCCUGGGCCUGUACUGACGCUCAUGCACGAAAGCGUGGGGAGCAAACAGGAUUAGAUACCCUGGUAGUCCACGCCCUAAACGAUGUCAACUGGUUGUUGGGUCUUCACUGACUCAGUAACGAAGCUAACGCGUGAAGUUGACCGCCUGGGGAGUACGGCCGCAAGGUUGAAACUCAAAAGAAUUGACGGG